rnacentral:misc_RNA from 1 species
GGAAGGAUCAUUCACACUAUUUGAAGUGAUUGGCAACAAUUACUUCAAAUUAAAAACCAAAAAAAAAAUAAACCAAAACGUGCUAUGUUGUAACCCGCCACUUUAAUCGGUCUGCGGGGAUGAAGGAGUUCAUGGGAAGGUGUGAAAGCACUGUGGCCAUGCUCCUGCAAAGUAACCGGUCGAGGAGGAAAUGCCUUGACCCAACCCCAAAUAAUACCUUAUAUCACCCCGACGUGCCUUCGGGCAUCAGCCUUUGUUUAAUAAAAAAAAAAGCUCAUUUUUUUGAGUAUUACGAAAAUACAAAGAAUACAACUCUUUGCAAUGGAUAUCUAGGUUCUCGCACCGAUGAAGAACGCAGCGAAGUGCGAUAUGUCAUGCGAAUUGCAGAAUUCAGUGAAUCAUCCAAUCUUUGAACGCAAGUGGCGCUCUCGGGAUAGACCUGAGAGCACGCCUCUCUGAGUAUCGGUUUCAUUACAAUCAACUCGCACUAUUCGAAUUCGAAUGAUGUGACGUUGGAAAAUGAGUGUCUGAUUCAAGCCCUAAGUGUAUAUUAUUAGUAUAUACAUGGUGGUGUGAGAGUCAGUUGCUUUAAAUACAGUUGUGAAUGAGCGGUAGUGCGUAGUCCCUUAACCAAGCUAUAGUAGCACACUAUUGGCAUGGCAAUGUUUUGAUAUGAACACAUGGCUUUUUGUUACCUGUGACCCAUACUUUCGUGAUCGCAUUCUACUCAACUGUACGUAGAUAAUCAUUUCUUCCGUGCUUUUCUUUCGAGACACCUGCGGAACAAUGGUCAUUCCACAUACAUUGAGUAAAUAUGUCGAACUCGGGUAUGAACCACUUACCAAAAACGCUUGUCUCAUUAUCAGCAUAGCCGCGAAGUGCUAAUAGUUGUACUACUUCUAGUGGAGGUUUGUUCGGGCUGCACUAUGCUCCUAUUCCAAUCGAGAAUGAAACGCGAUUAUUAGCAUCUAUACUAUUCGUAGUAUUAGAUGUUAAUAAUCGUAAUAUAUAUCUUAAGAACGAUCUCAGAUGAAGCGAGGUUACCCCCUGAAUUUAAGCAUAUUACUAAGGGGAGGAAAAGAAACUAACUAGGAUUCCCCCAGUAACGGCGAGUGAAGCGGGAAGAGCUCAAGUUGAAAAUCGGUGGGCAAUCUUUUGCUCAUCGAAUUGUAGCCUAGAGACGUGUUGUCAGCGUGUGAAUCAGUUUGGAAGUCCCUUGAAACGGGGCAUCAGAGAGGGUGAGAAUCCCGUCUACGAAUUGAUUAUCGCCGCGUACGACGCAUGUUCAUCGAGUCGAGUUGUUUGGGAUUGCAGCUCGAAGUGGGUGGUAAGUUCCAUCUAAAGCUAAAUAUGGGCGAGAGACCGAUAGCGAACAAGUACCGUGAGGGAAAGAUGAAAAGAACUUUGAAAAGAGAGUGAAAAAGUACUUGAAAUUGUGAAGAGGGAAGCGCUGGAAACCAGUCAUGCUCUAAACUAGCUUGGCCAUCAGCUGUUUAUUGAUUAUAGUCUAUUAGUGGUCAAACCUAAUGUGAUUAGCAUUCAAUGGACGUUGAUGGUUGCCUGUAGUUUAGAACAAGUCAGGAUCCGUUCGAUUUGCCAGAUGAGGCUACGGGGAAGGUAGGGUUGGUUUCGGCUAAUCUGUUAUAGCCCUGUAGCUUGCUGGUGGAUUGGACGGAGGUUAUUCACAACUUUAUGUUGCGAUAUUGUAAUCUGUCGUGGCUAUAAGUUGUCCCUAGCAAUGCUAGAUCAGCUUAUAGCUGUGCCAUUGUGUUGCGAUAUUCUUCGAGUUUGUGAUGAUCCUGUCGAAAUGGUUUUCAUCGACCCGUCUUGAAACACGGACCAAGGAGUCUAACAACUAUGCGAGUAGCAGGGUGGUAAACCCGAGUGCGUAAUGAAAGUAAAGCCAAGCUUGUCUUGGUGAGGUAGGAAUCGGCUUGUCCGAGGCACUAUCGACCGAUCAUCACUUGUGAAAGAUUUGAGUGUGAGCAUGGAUGUUGGGACCCGAAAGAUGGUGAUCUAUGCCUGAACAGGGUGAAGCCAGGAGAAAUUCUGGUGGAGGCUCGUAGCGAUACUGACGUGCAAAUCGUUCGUCUGAUUUGGGUAUAGGGGCGAAAGACUAAUCGAACUAUCUAGUAGCUGGUUCCCUC